UACGAAGGGGGCUAGCGUUGCUCGGAAUUACUGGGCGUAAAGCGCGCGUAGGCGGCUUUCUAAGUCGGGGGUGAAAUCCUGGAGCUCAACUCCAGAACUGCCUUCGAUACUGGAGAGCUUGAGUCCGGGAGAGGUGAGUGGAACUGCGAGUGUAGAGGUGAAAUUCGUAGAUAUUCGCAAGAACACCAGUGGCGAAGGCGGCUCACUGGCCCGGUACUGACGCUGAGGUGCGAAAGCGUGGGGAGCAAACAGG
rnacentral:rRNA from 1 species